UAAUCUGGUUGAUCCUGCCAGUAGUCAUAUGCUUGCUUCAAGGAUUAAGCCAUGCAAGUGUCGAGUAAAUAACUGCACAGUUGAUCUGCGUACAGCUCAUUACACCAGUCGUAAUCUACCUGCAUGAAUGACUCUGUCAUCGAGUGGAUAACUUCAGUAACUCCGAAGCUAAUACAUGGACGAGAAAUCGAGUAGCCAUUCAGCACAAGGAGUAACAUCCGAGUGUGGCUUCACGAUGCUUUUGGUCGUAAUAGAAACUGGUCAAUCAGAUUGAAUCUAUUGUGGCAUCAGACCAUUCUGUACAAGGAAACCGUUGCUUGCAACAUUCCGUGUGCGGUUGAGCGACUGACCUAUCAGCUUGUUUGCAAUGUAUUGGACUGCAGAGGCUUUGACGGGUAACGGAGAAUCAGGGUUCGAUUCCGGAGAGGGAGCCUGAGAAACGGCUGCCAUGUCUAAGGACAGCAGCAGGCGCGCAAAUUGCCCAAUACUAGCAUGAGCGAGGCAGCGACGAGAAGUAUUUACCUUGUGCUACAUUGUAUCACGAGGAUAGAAAUGGGUGAUAUCCAAAACCAUCACUGAGGAUCGAUUGGAGGGCAAGUCUGGUGCCAGCAGCCGCGGUAAUUCCAGCUCCAAUAGCGUAUACUAAUGCUGUUGCUGUUAAAAAAGCUCGUAGUUCGAUAAGGAUUGAUUCUGGUUCAGAUUCAGUGCUUCGCAGCUUUGCUGCAAGUAUUCGAUGAGAUCCGCUUGGAAUUGGUUCUGCAAUGAGUGACUCGUACGGUGGAAGAGCUCUUCAUUGAGCUUGGAAACGCUUUCGCAGCCAACAUCUGCACAAGUACAGUCGUUCGUGAUACCGUGAACAAAACAGCGUGCUCAAAGCAAGUGAUUCUGCUCGAAUGUUCAAGCAUGGAAUAUCAAGGAAUCGACCGUGAGUCUAAUCUUUGCUGGUUUCUGUAUGCGUCUUGGAGAAUUGGACCUGAGAAUAUCGUGCCAUAGUCAGUUCCUCCGGGUUCUGCUGUGGUACUAAGCUCUAGUUUACCGGUAUUAACAGGGAUGAACGGAGCAGUGUGUAUUGGCUCGCGAGGGGUGAAAUUCUUAGACCGUGCCAAGACAAACGUAAGCGAAGGCAUUCUGCAAGUAUAUCUUCACUAAUCAAGAACGAGAGUGCAGGGAUCGAAGAUGAUCAGAUACCGUCGUAGUCUGCUACUGUAAACGAUGCGAACUCGGGAUCAGCCGUCGCCAAUCUUUUCGAUUACCAGGCUGGAACCUACUUACUUCUCCUAGCGCGAAAGCUUUAAGUUUAUGCGUUCAGGGGGGAGUACAGUUGCAAGGCUGAAACUUAAAGGAAUUGACGGAAUGACACCACAAGGCGUGGAUGCUGCGGCUUAAUUUGACUCAACACGGGGAAUCUCACCAGGUCAGGACGCAUGUUGGAUUGACAGAUUGAAAGCUCUUUCUUGAUUAUGUGUAUGGUGGUGCAUGGCCGCUCCUGGUUGGUGGAGUGAUUUGUCUGGUUGAUUCCGUUAACGAACGAGACCU
rnacentral:rRNA from 1 species